UCCUACGGGACACAGCAGUGGGGAAUAUUGCACAAUGGGGGAAACCCUGAUGCAGCGACGCCGCGUGAGUGAAGAAGUAUUUCGGCAUGUAAAGCUCUAUCAGCAGGGAAGAUAAUGACGGUACCUGAGUAAGAAGCCCCGGCUAACUACGUGCCAGCAGCCGCGGUAAUACGUAGGGGGCAAGCGUUAUCCGGAUUUACUGGGUGUAAAGGGAGCGUAGACGGCGAGGUAAGCCUGAAGUGGAAGCCCGCGGCCCAACCGCGGAACUGCUUUGGGAACUGUUUUGCUGGUGUAUGGGAGGGGUA
rnacentral:rRNA from 1 species